rnacentral:rRNA from 1 species
AUUGAACGCUGGCGGCAUGCUUUACACAUGCAAGUCGAACGGCAGCACGGACUUCGGUCUGGUGGCGAGUGGCGAACGGGUGAGUAAUACAUCGGAACGUGCCCAGUUGUGGGGGAUAACUACUCGAAAGAGUAGCUAAUACCGCAUGAGAACUGAGGUUGAAAGCAGGGGAUCGUAAGACCUUGCGCAACUGGAGCGGCCGAUGGCAGAUGAGGUAGUUGGUGGGAUAAAAGCUUACCAAGCCGACGAUCUGUAGCUGGUCUGAGAGGACGACCAGCCACACUGGGACUGAGACACGGCCCAGACUCCUACGGGAGGCAGCAGUGGGGAAUUUUGGACAAUGGGCGAAAGCCUGAUCCAGCAAUGCCGCGUGCAGGAUGAAGGCCUUCGGGUUGUAAACUGCUUUUGUACGGAACGAAAAGCUUCGGGUUAAUACCCUGGAGUCAUGACGGUACCGUAAGAAUAAGCACCGGCUAACUACGUGCCAGCAGCCGCCGUAAGAC